rnacentral:tRNA from 1 species
GCCUUAGUGGUGUAACGGUUAGCACACUCGGCGCCUAUUCGAGAGGUCCAGGUUCGAAUCCCGGCGAGGGUA